rnacentral:rRNA from 1 species
UACGUAGGAUCCGAGCGUAGUCCGGAAUUACUGGGUGUAAAGGGCGUGUAGGUGGGUCUCUAAGUCGAUGGUGCAAUCCUGCAGCUUAACUGUAGAAUUGCCUUCGAUACUGGAGAUCUUGAGUGCGGCAGAGGGAGAUGGAAUUCAUGGUGUAGCGGUGAAAUGUGUAGAUAUCAUGAAGAACACCGGUAGCGAAGGCGGUCUCCUGGUCCGUAACUGACACUGAGGAGCGAAAGCGUGGGGAGCAAACAUG